AGCGGUGGAGCAUGUGGUUUAAUUCGAUGCUACGCGAAGAACCUUACCAGGUCUUGACAUCUUCUGCUAACCUAAGAGAUUAGGCGUUCCCUUCGGGGACGGAAUGACAGGUGGUGCAUGGUUGUCGUCAGCUCGUGUCGUGAGAUGUUGGGUUAAGUCCCGCAACGAGCGCAACCCUUAUUGUCAGUUGCCAGCAUUUAGUUGGGUACUCUGGCGAGACUGCCGGUGACAAACCGGAGGAAGGUGGGGAUGACGCCAAAUCAUCAUGCCCCUUAUGACCUGGGCUACACACGUGCUACAAUGGACGGUACAACGAGUCGCGAAACCGCGAGGUCAAGCUAAUCUCUUAAAGCCGUUCUCAGUUCGGAUUGCAGGCUGCAACUCGCCUGCAUGAAGUUGGAAUCGCUAGUAAUCGUGGAUCAGCAUGCCACGGUGAAUACGUUCCCGGGCCUUGUACACACCGCCCGUCACACCACGAGAGUUUGUAACACCCAAAGCCGGUGAGGUAACCUUCGGGAACCAGCCGUCUAAGGUGGGACAGAUGAUUAGGGUGAAGUCGUAACAAGGUAACC
rnacentral:rRNA from 1 species